rnacentral:rRNA from 1 species
GAUGAACGCUGGCGGCGUGCCUAAUACAUGCAAGUCGAGCGAACGGACGAGAAGCUUGCUUCUCUGAUGUUAGCGGCGGACGGGUGAGUAACACGUGGAUAACCUACCUAUAAGACUGGGAUAACUUCGGGAAACCGGAGCUAAUACCGGAUAAUAUAUUGAACCGCAUGGUUCAAUAGUGAAAGACGGUCUUGCUGUCACUUAUAGAUGGAUCCGCGCUGCAUUAGCUAGUUGGUAAGGUAACGGCUUACCAAGGCAACGAUGCAUAGCCGACCUGAGAGGGUGAUCGGCCACACUGGAACUGAGACACGGUCCAGACUCCUACGGGAGGCAGCAGUAGGGAAUCUUCCGCAAUGGGCGAAAGCCUGACGGAGCAACGCCGCGUGAGUGAUGAAGGUCUUCGGAUCGUAAAACUCUGUUAUUAGGGAAGAACAUAUGUGUAAGUAACUAUGCACAUCUUGACGGUACCUAAUCAGAAAGCCACGGCUAACUACGUG